GUAAGUCGCAAGCGUUAUCCGGAAUCAUUGGGCGUAAAGCGUCCGUAGGCGGUUUUGUAAGUCUGUGGUUAAAUCCCUUCGCUCAACGGAGAAAUCGUCACGGAAACUAUAAAACUUGAGUAGUGCAGGGGCAGAUGGAAUUCCAGAAGUAGGGGUAAAAUCCGUAGAUCUCUGGAGGAACACCAAACGCGAAGGCAUUCUGCUGGGCACUUACUGACGCUGAGGGACGAAAGCGUGGGUAGCGAACGGGAUUAGAUACCCCGGUAGUCCACGCCGUAAACGAUGGAUACUCGGUAUUGGAGGCUUCGACCCCCUUCGGUGCCCUAAGCUAACGCAUUAAGUAUCCCGCCUGGGUAGUACGGUCGCAAGAUUA
rnacentral:rRNA from 1 species